rnacentral:rRNA from 1 species
GACGAACGCUGGCGGCGUGCUUCACACAUGCAAGUCGAACGAAGUGGCGAACGGGUGAGUAAUACGUGGGUAACCUGCCCUCCUUUUUGGGAUAAGCCUUGGUAACGGGGUCUAAUACCUAAUCACGGGGGAUGGGCUCGCGGCCUAUCAGCUUGGUGGUGGGGUGAUGGCCUACCCAGGCGGUGACGGUUAGCCGGCCUGAGAGGGUGAUCGGCCAGAUUGGGAGUGAGAGACGGCCGAGACUCCGACGGGAGGCAGCAGUGGGGGAUAUGGCACAAUGGGCGAAAGUCUGAUGCAGGGACGCCGCGUGGGGGAUGAAGUCGUGGGGGUUGUAAACCUCUUACGCUAUCGAAAGGGUAGGUGGAGAAGAAGCGCCGGCUAACUACGUGCCAGCAGCCGCGGUAAUUC